rnacentral:rRNA from 1 species
AUUGAACGCUGGCGUCUGGCCUAACACAUGCAAGUCGAGCGAGCGGCGUACGGGUGAGUAAUGUCUGGGAAACUGCCUGAUGGGGGGGGAUAACUACUGGAAACGGUAGCUAAUACCGCAUACCAUCAUAUGUGCCCAGAUGGGAGUAGCUAGUAGGUGGGGUAACGGCUCACCUAGGCGACGAUCCCUAGCUGGGCUGAGAGAAUGGCCAGACACACGGGAGCGGAGGCACGGUCCGGAAACCCGCGGGAGGCAGAAGUGGGGAAUAUGGCACAAUGGGCGCAGGCCGGAUACAGCCAUGCCGCGUAGGUGAAGAAGGCCAUCGGGUUGUAAAGCACAGUCAGAGGGGAGGCGGGAAGCGCAGAAGAAGCACCGGCUAACACCGUGCCAGCAGCCGCGGUAAUAC